GACGAACGCUGGCGGCGUGCUUAAUACAUGCAAGUCGAACGGAAAGGCCCUGCUUUUGUGGGGUGCUCGAGUGGCGAACGGGUGGGUAACACGCGAUUAACCUGCCCUUGACUUUGGGAUAACUUCAGGAAACUGGGGCUAAUACCGGAUAGGAGCUCCUGCUGCAUGGUGGGGGUUGGAAAGUUACGGCGGUUGGGGAUGGGCUCGCGGCUUAUCAGCUUAUUGGUUGGGUAGUGGCUUACCAAGGCUUUGACGGGUAGCCGGCCUGAGAGGGUGGACGGCGCCAUUGGGACUGAGAUACGGCCCAGACUCCAACGGGAGUCAACAGGGGGGAAAAUUUCACAGCGAGGGGAAGCCUGAUGCAGCGACGCCGAGUGCGGGAUGACGGGUUGCGGGUGUUAAACCGCUUUCGCAGGAGACGAAGUGUGAGUGACGGUAAUGGGUAAAGAAGCAACGGCUAACUACGUG
rnacentral:rRNA from 1 species